AAAAAAUCAAUGAAAUAGAAGGAAAUAUAAUGGCCAAAAAUCUUCGAAUUAAAUGAUUAUCCCAAUUUCUACUGGCAUAGAAUCUGCGAUAAACAUUUCACAAUAAUUACUGGUUGUAAACAAUGCUCAGCGAAUUAUAGUAAACAUGGUCAGAGGCUGUCUCAAAACAUAAUCCAAACCACUUGACUGGGAUAGAGAAGUAAAAUAAAUGUUUUGAUUCACGGCAACACUGGUACUAAUCUGAGCACGACUAGUAACUCGCAUCUAAGAGAUAAUUUUGUUUCUCUAACGAUGAGUUAGAAGAAAAUUAACAGACGAAUAAGGGAUUUGGAGUCUAUACAGUUGAUGAUUUUAAUUCACCCAGAAAAGCCUCAGAUACCCAAUAAUGUCUAAUUCACACACACUUAUCUCAUACAAUGGAUUAUACUUAUUAUGGUUAUCAAAACCGAGAUAUAUGAUGUACCACGUACGAGGAGCUAGGUAGUGGAGCCAAUGUAUUGACAAUUUUUCAGACGUUGACUUUCUUGAAGAUAAUUCUGCCGACCCAGAUGAAGCCAUACCUUAUUGGUGAGAAUUAUGAAACUGAAAGGUCGUCAAGCCCGUUCCCAAUUGCAAUGAGGAAAUACAACCUUCUUUGAAUGAAGAGUACGGAAUUACCAAAAAGCGCAGUGUAUAGUAGAAGUGUAUACUUUUCAGUAAAACAUCCAUUGUCUCGCCUCGCCACAUUAACGUUAAUCUUCAUUUAUUUCCAAAAAAUCAAUGAAAUAGAAGGAAAUAAUGGCCAAAAAUCUUCGAAUUAAAUGAUUAUCCCAAUUUCUACUGGCAUAGAAUCUGCGAUAAACAUUUCACAAUAAUUACUGGUUGUAAACAAUGCUCAGCAAAUUAUAGUAAACAUGGUCAGAGGCUGUCUCAAAACAUAAUCCAAACCACUUGACUGGGAUAGAGAAGUAAAAUAAAUGUUUUGGUUCACGGCAACACUGGUACUAAUCUGAGCACGACUAGUAACUCGCAUCUAAGAGAUAAUUUUGUUUCUCUAACGAUGAGUUAGAAGAAAAUUAACAGACC